GAUGAACGCUGGCGGCGUGCCUAAUACAUGCAAGUCGAGCGAACGGACGAGAAGCUUGCUUCUCUGGUGUUAGAGGCGGACGGGGGAGGAACACGUGGAUAACCUACCUAUAAGACUGGGAUAACGUCGGGAAACCGGAGCUAAUACCGGAUUAUAUUUUGAACUGCAUGGUUCAAAAGUGAAAGGCGGUCUUGCUUUCACUGAUAGAUGGAGCGGCGGUGCAUUAGCUAGUUGGUAAGGUGACGGCUUACGACGGCAACGAUGGCUAGCCGACCUGAGAGGGUGGACGGCCACACUGGAAAUGAGAAACGGGCCAGGCUCCUGAGGGAGGCAGCAGUAGGGAGUCGUCCGCAAUGGGCGAAAGCCUGACGGAGGAACGCCGCGUGAGUGAUGAAGGUCGUCGGAUCGUAAAACGCAGUUAUUAUGGAAGAACAUAUGUGUAAGUAGCUGGGCAGAGCGUGACGGUACCUAAUCAGAAAGCCACGGCUAACUACGUG
rnacentral:rRNA from 1 species